GAUGGACGCUGGCGGCGUGCCUAAUACAUGCAAGUCGAGCGAACAGAUGAGAAGCUUGCUUCUCUGAUGUUAGCGGCGGACGGGUGAGUAAGACGUGGGUAACCUACCUAUAAGACUGGGAUAACUCCGGGAAACCGGGGCUAAUACCGGAUAAUAUUUUGAACCGCAUGGUUCAAUAGUGAAAGACGGUUUGGGCUGUCACUUAUAGAUGGAACCGCGCCGUAUUAGCUAGUUGGUAAGGUAACGGGUUACCAAGGCGACGAUACGUAGCCGACCUGAGAGGGUGAUCGGCCACACUGGAACUGAGACACGGUCCAGACUCCUACGGGAGGCAGCAGUAGGGAAUCUUCCGCAAUGGGCGAAAGCCUGACGGAGCAACGCCGCGUGAGUGAUGAAGGUCUUCGGAUCGUAAAACUCUGUUGUUAGGGAAGAACAAAUUUGUUAGUAACUGAACAAGUCUUGACGGUACCUAACCAGAAAGCCACGGCUAACUACGUGCCAGCAGCCGCGGUAA
rnacentral:rRNA from 1 species